GUCAGGUCGCACGUCAUUAAAAACCCAGAUUGCGUUUUACUAUCUGCGCCCGCUGCAAGUGUGCUGUUUGUGGCUAUAUGGUGGGAAGUUUGAUUCAUCUUGAACCUCGAAUCCUUUCAGUCAGUUCACGGACUCGUUCAAUAGGUCACGUUUUGAUGAGUCCCUCAAGAAAGUCUUUCUCAACCAUUUCCUCAAUGUUCUGUCUGGCCCUGCUCCAGAAGACUUUCUGGCUCUCCAGCUUGCCAUCCUUGCCAGGGAAUGGGCCAUCCCUGGGAGUGGGGCUGUGAUACGGUCCUGACCGGCUGUUACCUUUACUGCUGAAGACCUGACUGAGAAGGUUGAAGAAAGGGAGAAGCUGCUCCAUGCUGCGGAUCACAUAAAGGCUUGGCCAGUCUGACAACAUAGGGCUUGAACUCUCUCUGAUGGGUCCCCUGCCUGCGGACCUCCAAACCAGAGUCAUCCGAGGAUUCAGGGACAAAAGCCCAACGAUACCUGUGCUGAAGGAGUAGUUGCUGCAGAGGAUGGACCAGAGGGCAGUGCAAGGGGUGACACCAGAGGGGGCUGGACUUUGCUGAGAAUCUUCGAGCAGAGGCGCAGACAGUGGGUGAGCUCUCUGAGGCCCAGGGCCUGCAG